AGGUGAACUCCAUUGUACUUAUUAUUCAGUUGUGAGAAAAUCUCCAGUAAUGAGGUAAGAAAGUUUCUCUUCCACUGAUAUAUAGAUUUAUCUCUUUGCCAUAAAGUGGAUUUUGCUUUGCUGUCAGUUAUAAGACAUAAGAAUCUUUUUUCAAUAUUGACUAUUCUUCUUUCUUCAUUAUAUAUUAUGCUUUGUGGAAAUUGUUUUGGACAACCAACAAUAAAGUACUCCGCUAUGACAUAGCCAAAUAUCGCUGAAAAUGGUAUUUAAAAACAAAUUAAUUAUUUAACCAUUAUAUUUUACUCUUUUUCUCUAAAGUCAUACGAAACCGCAAAUUAAUAAAAAAAAAAAAUGAUGCAUAGUUUUUUUUUAUAACUAAAUGAAUAGUAUUCAUUUUAAAACUGUUGUACAUGUACUUUUUUUUGAGAAAAUUCUUUCAUAUGUCCACAUUUAGGAGAAAUUUACUUUUUUUAAUUGCUUGCACCAGGAAGCAAUUCGCUGAAAUAUUUUCCGUAUGCAAGUGACCUAAUCGUGACCCUUUUCGUAAAAAUCCGGUGAUCGCAAUACGCAUGGAUCUGUCAUUGAAUUAACUAUUUUCUGAUUGAACAUGCUAUUCACGUGCUCAAUGUCCAUGCAUCAUUGUUGAUUGUUUACUAAAAGGUGACAAUCGGUAAUUUACUGCUUCAAACACGGCAAUUAAUAAGCUGCCAUACUUGUUAAAUCAUAACAGACCGAGACAAAAAAAAAAUGAAGAUUUUACGAUAUUUUUGCAUUAGAAAUGAUAAAAUAGUGCACAUAAGACUAGGUUUAUGAUAUAUACAUGCAUUGGUUUAAGAAUUGGAUCAACAUUUUUUUUCACCAGUCACUCGUUUCAUAUGACUUUAACUAGGCUACUUAAAUUUUCCUACACACAAAAAAAAUUCGACAUAAAAUGGUCAAACAAAAUACCCAAACGAAAAGAAGAGAACAAUCUUCUGUAUAUAAUGAGAUUUGUGACAGAUGCAAUGUUUUAAAUACAAUUAUGUUAUAUAUGAAAGGAUGACCAUGCAAAAAUAUAAUCAUUAAUCACCUUCUUCUUGGGUUAAAAAUGCAUAAAAUUUAAUCAAAACCCUAAGGUACUGACAAGAUAACUAAAUCUUCAAAAGUUUAUCACUACUUUUUAUAUACACAAAAUAUAGUCCAGUGAUCAUACCAUCUUAACCAUAUUAAACCUUUCAAGAAAUUUAGCAAUGAAAUAUCUCACUUUAUCUGCUGAGAUAUUCUAGUUACAAAUGAUGUUAUAUUUGUCAGGAAAAAUUGCUUAACUUUUGCAAGGUGCAGGAAUCUAAUAUAUGUUAUUAAAAUAUCAUUGAUGUCAUUGUUAAAGUCAUAUUUAAAAAUUGGAGUUAUCUUCAUUUGUCGAAAUUGUAGUUGAAUGAACAACACAAUGCAGUAUUUAAUUUUACUUCCACUGGUAAUUAGACAAUAUUUACCCUUCAGUGCUUACAAGCUCUUUGAUUAUGUACUCUUAUCUAGUUUUAUCUUCCAACAGAUGCUUCAAUGAAAAUGAUAGUUUUGAAAUUCCACUUCUGUCCACUUUUGUCAAUUUUACUUCAGUAAAUAGGUUGAGAGGUUAAGCUAGCUUGCAAAACAGGAAUAAUCCACCAUUUUCUUUAUAAGAAAAUGCCUCUACUAAGUCAGGAAUAUGACAGUUGUUAUCCUUUUAUUUGAUGUGUUUGAGCAUUUGAUUAGGGACUUUCUGAUUUUCCUCGGAGUUCAGUAUUUUUGUAUUUUUUUACUUUUUGGUCUGUUUUUGCACUGCUCCUUUGGAAUGGUUGCUUUGGCUACAUUUUAUUUAAUCUUUUUUGACCUACAAUUGUAGAUCUGAGGUGGUAGAAAACAGAAAAGUUGAGUCUUUACUUCAAGAUAUUAGUCGCCCAUCAGGACUAUCCAUUUAUCAUGGUAUGUAUAAAGAAGAUGUAGUAUGAUAGCCAAUGAGACAUCUCUCCACACGAGAACAAAUGACACAGAAAUUAAAAACUAUGGUUCACCAUACGGCCUUUAACAAUGAGCAAAGCCCGUAAAUGCAUAGUGAGCUAUACAAUUAAAGGUCCUGAAAUGACAAAUGUAAAACAACGGGAAAAACUAACGACCUAGUUUAUAAACAGACAAUGCAUACAAGAAAAGUAACAACCUUAUUUAUAUGGUACACCAAAUUUCAAAAUACCAUUUUCUUUCAUAUGUAACUGGCUGUUGCAGAAACCAGUCACAUGAUCAAUGAUUGCAUGUUUUUUUUUACAAUUCUUUGAGGGUUUAGAACUUCGUAAAGAUAUGAAUGAAAAAUGUCCAUAUCUGUGAAAAAAGUAUAAAAAACAUGCUUUAAGAAUUAGUAAAGUAUGUUAAAAAUCAUGACUGUACCAAAACACAUUGGUUAUUGAUCAAGCUGAUGAUAAUAUGGGAAAUUAUGACAACUAUGUCAAAUAUAAAAAUAAGGAGAUGUGGUAUGAUUUCACUGCAUUUCACUGCAGACUAAACGAUAUGGAAAUAAGAAAAAAAUCGUGCAAUUUAUAAACUAUCACAGGAUUAAACUUGAAAAAAGGUAAAACCAUUCAAAGUAGAAAAUUAAAGAAAAACACUGCCCAUUCUAUAUUUAUCAUGCCCACUCACAAAAGCAUCUGUAAAUAGAAACUAUUUUAUCCCUCUGUUUGUUCAUUCUUCAACUGUUCCAUAACAAGAAUCUAGAUUUUCUUGAAAUUAUCAAUUUUUGGGAAACUUCAGACAUUUAACUUGCUUUUGCUAGUAUAGAAUAUUUUUCAUUAGUCCGGGCGAUCGGUGAAAAAAUUGCUCAAAUAAUGAGGAAAGCACCAUUUUUUAUACGACCACAAAAAUUGAAAUUUUUUUGUUAUACGACCGCAAAAAAAUUGAAAUUUUUUUGUUAUACGACCGCAAAAAUUGAAUUUUUUUUGGUUGUAUAUUGGUAUCACGUUGGCGUCGUAGUCGUCGUCGUCCGAAUACUUUUAGUUUUUGCACUCUAACUUUAGUUUCAGUAAAUAGAAAUCUAUGAAAUUUUGACACAUGGUUUAUGACCACAAAAGGAAGAUUGGGAUUGAUUUUGGGAGUUUUGGUUUCAACAGUUUAGGAAUUAGUAGCCAAAAAAGGGCCCAAAUAAGCAUUUUCUUGGUUUUCGCACAAUAACUUUGGUAUAAGUAAAUAAAAAUCAAUGAAAUUUAAACACAAGGUUUAUGACCACAAAAGGAAUGUUGGGAUUGAUGUUGGGAGUUGAGGUCCCAACAGUUUAGGAAAAAGGGGCAAAAAAGGGGCCCAAAUAAGCAUUGUUCUUGGUUUUCGCACCAUAACUUUAGUAUGAGUAAAUAGAAAUCUAUGAAAUUUAAACACGAAGUUUAUGACCAUAAAAGGAAGGUUGGGUUUGAUCUUGGUAGUUUUGGUUCCAACAGUUCAGGAAUAAGGGGAUCAAAGGGUCUUAAAUUGAACUUUGUUUGAUUUCAUCAAAAAUUAAAUAAUUGGGGUUUUUUGAUAUGCUGAAUCUAACUCUGUAUGUAGAUUCUUAGUUUUCGGUCCCGUUUUCAAAUUGGUCUACAUUAAGGUCCAAAGGGUCCAAAAUUUAACUUAGUUUGAUUUUAACAAAAAUUGAAUCCUUGGUGUUCUUUGAUAUGCUGAAUCUAAAAAUGUACUUAGAUUUUUGAUUAUUGGCCCAGUUUUUAAGUUGGUCCAAAUCGGGGUCCAAAAUUAAACUUUGUUUGAAUCCAUCAAAAAUUGAAUAAUUUGGGGUUCUUUGAUAUGCCAACUCUAACUGUGUAUGUAGAUGCUUUAUUUUUGGUCCCGUUUUGAAAUUUGUCUACAUUAAAGUCCAAAGGGUCCAAAUAUUAUUAUAUUAAGUAUUGUGCAAUAGCAAGAAAUUUUCAAUUGCACAUUCUUCGGCAAUAGCAAGAAAUCUUCAAUUGCACAGUAUUGUGCAAUAGGAAAAUUUUUUCAUAUGCACAGUAUUGCGCAAUAGCAAGAAAUCUUCAAUUGCCAGUAUUGUGCAAUAGCAAAUAUUUUCAAUUGCACAGUAUUGUGCAAUAGCAAGAAAUAUCUAAUUGCACAAUAGUGUGCAAUAGCAAGAAAUGUUCAAUUGGAGUUAUCUUUCUUUGUCCAGAAUAGUAGUUGAAUCAACUUAAAUCAUUGUUUUAUACAAUAUCAAUGUAUAUGCUUUUACUACCACUGAUAAAUUAAAACAAUCUUUACCAUUCAGUGAUAAAAGCACUUUAUUUUACAUUUUAAUAUAAUGAUGUAUUUAAAUAGUUGUUAUUGUUGCAACUCCAUUAGAAAUUUUUAAUUGAGAUCAGUUUAUGGAAAAAGGGAAAGGGGGAUGUGAAAAAAAAGGUGGGUUAAAUUUUUCUCAUUUCAGUUUCAAAAUAAAAAAAAAAAAUUCUUCAAACAUUUUUUGGAGAGGAUUAAUAUUCAACAGCAUAGUGAAUUGUCAAAGGCAAUAUUUUAAGUUCAUUAGACCACAUUCAUUCUGUGUCAGAAACCUAUGCUGUGUCAACUAUUUAAUCACAAUCCAAAUUUAGAGCUGAAUCUAGCUUGAAUGUUGUGUCUAUACUUGCCACAACCGUUCAUGGUUCAACCUCUGCGGUCGUAAAAAGCUGCGCCCUGUGGAGGAUCUGGUUGCAUGAUGGUACAUUUUUGUGUACUGAGCAAUAUCUAUGGACCCCCCUCAAAAUUUCAAUAUGGCGGCUUAUUUCAAGAUGGCUGCCGUACGUUCUAAAAUAUUUUCCAGUAUUGCACAAACCACAGUGGAUUUGAUGUUGGAAGCAAAAAAUCAACAUAUUUGAAUGACUUGGUGUACUUAGCAAGAUUUUGUUUUGAUCUGUCUUCGAAAUACAAAAUGGCGGCUAUUUUCAAAAUGGUCUCCUUGAAAAAUAAGCAAAUAUUCAUUAUUGAGAACUGACCUGAAUAUAAGCAUUUUAUUGAUGUAUAGUGUCAUUAAGUAUCUGUCCCAGUUCUGUCCUUUUUGAUUUUGCUUUGCUUGUCAUUCAUUCACAAAGUAGUAGCUUUCAUAACAAGCUGCAGUAGUAGCUUUCAUAACAAGCUGUAGUAGUAGCUUUCAUAAGAAGCUGAACUAUUUGUAGUCUUGGGUCACACAUAAAAGCUGUGAUUUGGGAUUUAUCUGCCAUAAGAUAUUAUCCAGUGCCUAUUUUAUUUCUUGGGUCGCAAUAUUUUGGAGAAACCCACAGCUGAAGACGCUUUAACAGAAGACAGUUCAGAAAUGACUAUUAAGGUUUACCUAACACUUUCACUAAAAUAUAUUUGGCUCGUUAAAUUUUGAUAACAUUUUGACAAAGUAUUUACUUUGACCCUUGAACAAAAAUAUAAAAAUUUCAAAAAUUUUGAACCAACCGAUUUGUCAGAAAAAUUACACUGGUUAUAUUGCAGUUUGACAAACACCAAUUUUGAUCUUUGUGAAGCUUAUUAUUCCCUUUACAACACAACGUAAUUAAAACGUUUAGCUGACUUUACAGAGUUAUCUCCCUGUAGUGUUAGGUACCACCAUAAACAAUCGUACCAAGAAUUUUUAGCAGAUAAAAAAAUUAAUGAUGAAAGAACAGCUGAGAUUCACCGCAAUAUAUAACAGAGCGAAGCGCGAAUUGAGAAAAUAUGUGUUGGUCUCAUUUCGUUUCAUGCUGAAUAGAAAGUUGCUAUGAAUAUUAAUAACGAACAGAUGAGAGUAAUAUCCCAGCAACUUUAGCAGUCUGAAGACAGGAAAUACCACAAGGCUAGUAAUAAUUGCUUAACGGAAUUGAUGGUCAGACCAAUUAGAAAUUUUUAAUGUUGUUGUGAGACGAAUGGACAAGCUGACAACAACCGAAGAAGGAGACACAGUUCAAUAUCUUAUUGCAUUUAAACAGCAGGGUACCUUCCAACAACUGGCAUCUGUUGUAAAUGAAUAAGUGGACAAUCGAAAUAAAGAAGUUAAAAUUCCUGCAAUGGCCACAUCAUCUAAGCCAAAAUUUGACCUUAGCCAGUACAACGCAAAAGUACCAACAGUACACAAAACAACAAAAUCCAUGCCUUGGGUCUUUCCCCAAUUGUCGUUCGCGUGAACCAUUAACCGCGCCAACUCUGUUGAAGGUGUCUUCACCUUAAGUCAAAAGUCCUAUGUUAGGCCCCUGGCCCUGCAUGAGACAGUUCAAAUUAUUCAACAACAAUCUCAAUUUAAGAACAUACUAUAAACCUCUAGUACUAAUCAAGGAUCUUAUGUGUCUUCUUACGCACUCUUACCAUCUACUAUGAGUCAAUAAUAUUUGGUUCAGAGCAGAACACCAUUACAGAAACAAGUGGCUGCAAAUGGAUUCUAUCAAGUUUCUCCAAUGCUGAAUGCAGUGCCUACUUACGGUAUCAUCCCCGUCGAGUCAAUGGUAAAUCUCACAUUUAUCACUCCAAUUAUGACAACCUCAUCAGCUCCUGGAGCUCUAACAGGCUUCCCAUAACAGCAAGCUGACUCUACUGACCGAUCCAGGAAAGGGCAUAGAAAACCAAAAGAGUGGGACAACACCUCUUCUUCAGACUCCUCAUUGGAGAGAGAAUAUACCCGAUGGCAAGAACAUUUUGGUGCAAGGGACCGGAGCCCCCUACUCAAUUGAACAGGAUCCAUGACUUGGGAGGCUUUCAUUUACCAAUUUGAACGAACUGCCGGUAGAUGACAAUGGGAAACAGGAAAACUGUGUGUAAGCACCAGAUUGCUAGGCAUGUUGGCUUUGAGUACGCUCGCAAGGUAAAUACAGAUGAUGAUUCAAAGGCUUUAAGAAGGCAUUCAUUUGGAGCAGCGCUUCAGCAAGAAAGAAGAUCAAACCAGAUUGGAACCGGAACAUUCCGUAGAGGAUGUAAAGACAAAGAUUCUUUAAGGCAUGUUAUAGAGAGAAACCCAGAAGCAUCCAACAAGGCGUUAAAACAAUUGACAACCUUAAUAGCAAACCAGAUGGCGAUAUAUGGAUCAAAAAGUGCCAAUUAUGACCAUCGACAAGUCUACUUUCCUCAUGGUAGAGUAUCACCGACCGUUUAAGGACAUAUGCGCAGUCCUUUGGAUAAUGAGAUGCAUAACCUUACACAAAUUGUCACAAAACUAGCUGAUGUUAUGCUUUCAACUACUAAAUAAUCAGCAUAGCCGUGAAUUGGCCGAUCAAUAUAACCUCGGUUCUUCUGAUCAAACAAUCAUGGAAGAUCACUUGAUCAAUAUACACUCCGAAGAUCUCUUGAGCAAUACAAUUGCGGUAGAUCGCCAGAUAGAAAUACACCCAAGCUUAAUGCCUAUCGAUCAGCAACACCACCCCCCUAAGCUAGAGAUCACAUAGUCCCUAAAAACGGUUAGCAUCUCCAUGGACAAACUCCAGAAAUCCCGGUUAUUUCAGACAACGUUCACCUUCACCAAGAUACGGAGCAAAUCAAAGUGCAACCCCAACAAUGGAGUCUUUUAACAGCAAAGAGUCGGGUCAGUAGGCCAACGCACGAUUCCAAACUUUAUUGGCCAUGAAACAUCACCUUAUCACAAAAUCGAACAGAGGCCCACGGCGUCGUCCAAUAUUGUCAUGAGACGAACCAUGUGAAAUAGCUUAGCAGUUCGAGGUACUAUACAUGACCAGUAUGUGAGCAUGAUUGUGGACAAUGCUGAAAUGAUAACAUUAGUAAAUGAGAAAGAAAUUCCGGCAGAAAAUGGAGAUAUGGAGAACGUAACGCUACGGGGUUUGGGUUAACAGCCUGUUAUUGGGAAGAAUAUAAAGAAUGACUCUCGACAUUAAUAGAGUAAACAUGCAAAGGGAUGUGUGCAAAGAGCCAUUAACAGACGAUGUUAAAUUUAGGCUAGAUAUUUUGGACACACUGAGCGCAGUACUCCCACAAUUACCAUCAACAAUAAAGUGAUAAAUGCUGCAUUUGUUAACAGUGGGAACGAAAUUUCAACUCAGCAAGUUUGCAUAAAACGAACCAUCAAAGUUCAGCAAAAAAUGAUUGUUACCAUUAAAACUAAUAAAAGUGCUGACCUGGAGUGCAUUUUAGGACCAGGCUCGCUGAAUAGCUGCGAUUCGGUUUUGCACGUUGUCGGAAAAGGAAAUAGUUGCCCCUUAACCAUUUUAAAUGAUGGCAAUCGUCUAAUCCGCCUGAAGAAAGGUACACCUAUUUAUUACAUAGAAUAAUUUGACGAUGUAGUGGGUUCAGCAGAUGAAAUCGCGAUAAGUGACGUAAACCAUGGCAUUGAAGAGACACGAGACAAGGUGCCCUCGGCACUGCCUCAAAGUUCAGAUGAGUUACCUACUAUUCCACCACAUUUAACCGACCUAUAUUAACGUUCAAUCGACUCGUUUCAACCUAUUGCAAUCCAACAAUUAAAACUGCAAGCGUUUAAAGAACUAUUACAACAACAUGUAACAUAUUGAUUAACAUUUAAAAUUUCACUUUUUCUUUUUAUAUAUGCAGCCAAAUUUGAAAAUGUAUGUGCUAUAGAAAUAAUUAAAUUAUUGUUUUUAUUUUUUUUUUAAAUUAAUUGAUAACAAAUUCAAAAACAUGAAGUCGAUUUUUAAAGAAUUAUUACUUUAAUUUCCGAAAUUAUAUAGAAUACCCUCAGGACAAUCUUGAUAUUUAUACCGUUUUUACGCCAUCUUGAAAAUGGCAGCCAUAUUGGAUUUUUCAGAGUGGGUCUAUUGCUGACAUCAAAGGAUAUUUAAUCAAGAACUACUAUGCAAAGUUUCAUGCUUUCCUCAUCAAGUGAUCAAUUGUGCUCUAUAUCUGCACCAAUCGGCCGGACUAUAACAGACGAUGUUUAAUUUAGGCUAGAUAUUUUGGACACACUGAGCGCAGUGAUAAACCUCAGUACUCCCAUAAAUACCAUCAACAAUAAAGUGAUAAAUGCUGCAUCUGUUAACAGUGGAAACGAGAUUUCAACUCAGCAAGUUUGCAUAAAUCGAACCAUCACAGUUCCUCAAAACUAAAAAAAAAUGACUGUUACCAUUAAAACUAAUAAACGUGCACUUAAGGACCAGGCUCGCUGAAUAAUUGCGAUUCGGUUUUGCACGUUGUUGAAAAAGGAAAUAGUUGCCCCUUAACCAUUUUAAAUUAUGGUAAUCGUCUAAUCCGCCUGAAGAAAGGUACACCUAUUUAUUACAUAGAAUAAUUUGACGAUGUAGUGGGUUCAGCAGAUGAAAUCGCGAUAAGUGACGUAAGACAUGGCAUUGAAGAGACACGAGACAAGGUGCCCUCGGCACUGCCUCAAAGUUCAGAUGAGUUACCUACUAUUCGAACACAUUUAACCGACCUAUAUUAACGUUCAAUCGACUCGUUUCAACCUUUUGCAUUCCAACCAUUAAAACUGAAAGCGUGUAAAAAACAAUUACAACAACAUUCUUUUAAUUUAACUGAUAACAAAUUCAAAAACAUGAGGUCCAUUUUUAAAGAAUCAUUACUUUGAUUUCCGAAAUUAUAUAGAAUACCUUCAGGACAAUCUUGAUAUUUAGACCGUUUUUACGCCAUCUUGAAAAUGGCAGCCAUAUUGGAUUUUUUAGAGUGGGUCCAUAGCUGAAAUCAAAGGGUCUUUAACCAAGAACUACUAUGCAAAGUGUCAUGCUUUCCUCAUCAAGUGAGCAAUUGUGCUCUAUAUCUGCAUCAAUCGGCCGGACUACAUGUAUAAUGUGCUUUUAAGUUUCCUGUAUGAUAACUUUCCAGAUGAAAUACAUUAAAGAAUUAAACAGUCAUGACAGAAGUUUAAUAAUGUACAAAUUUCAAAUCUGUUGAGAAGGUACAAAUUAAGAUUAAAAAAUACUGAGGAAAUUGCUUGAACUCUGAAAAGGAGUAAGACAGUAUGCCUCAUUAUGGUUAAUUUCACCUGCCAUGCAAAUCAAGAUUUUAUAAACUACUGUACAUUACAAAAAAUAUUGUGAGGUUUUUAGUAAUGCAAAUAAUUUGACAACUUGAGUAUCGCAAUAAUAAGAAAUCACAUUCUGAUAUCAAAUACAUAUAUCUGUUUGUAGCUUUUCGUAAAAUUUCAGUGAUUUAACUUGUAAUUUUGUUAAUUCUUCAAACAUUGCAAUAAUAAAUGCACGGAAUAAAUUCUUAAUUCACAGUGUAUCAUUUUUUGUUUGAAAACAGAUAGACUCAUCAAUCAUAUAUGUGCUGUUAAUUUCAUGGAUGGUCCACUAUACUACAUACUUGUUUACUCAAGGGAGACAAUUUCAGAAUAAUGGAGUUGUUACUAAAAAUAGAUCCCAAUGAUACGAAUAAUAACCUUCAAAAUAGUUCAGGAUU
rnacentral:lncRNA from 1 species